rnacentral:rRNA from 1 species
AAAUUGAAGAGUUUGAUCAUGGCUCAGAUUGAACGCUGGCGGUAGGCCUAACACAUGCAAGUCGAACGGUAACAGGAAGCAGCUUGCUG